rnacentral:rRNA from 1 species
AUUGAACGCUGGCGGCAUGCCUUACACAUGCAAGUCGAACGGCAGCAUAGGAGCUUGCUCCUGAUGGCGAGUGGCGAACGGGUGAGUAAUAUAUCGGAACGUGCCCUAGAGUGGGGGAUAACUAGUCGAAAGACUAGCUAAUACCGCAUACGAUCUACGGAUGAAAGUGGGGGAUCGCAAGACCUCAUGCUCCUGGAGCGGCCGAUAUCUGAUUAGCUAGUUGGUGGGGUAAAAGCCUACCAAGGCGACGAUCAGUAGCUGGUCUGAGAGGACGACCAGCCACACUGGGACUGAGACACGGCCCAGACUCCUACGGGAGGCAGCAGUGGGGAAUUUUGGACAAUGGGGGCAACCCUGAUCCAGCAAUGCCGCGUGAGUGAAGAAGGCCUUCGGGUUGUAAAGCUCUUUUGUCAGGGAAGAAACGGUUCUGGAUAAUACCCAGAGCUAAUGACGGUACCUGAAGAAUAAGCACCGGCUAACUACGUGCCAGCAGCCGCAGUAAGAC